ensembl:snRNA U6 U6 spliceosomal RNA
GUGCUUGCUUCAGCAGUACAUAUACUAAAACUGGAUCAAUCCAGAGAUUAGUGUGGCCCCUGUAUGAGGAUGAUAUGCAAAUUCCUGAGUGUUCUGUAUCUUCU